rnacentral:misc_RNA from 1 species
AUGUUUGGACGUCUGAAGCAGAAAGUUAAGGAAAAGACUGGACGUGCCAAGGCGACAACUCUUCCCGCAGAAGUGGACGAUGCGAUGGGCUACUUCAAAAAUCUGACGCCACGUGUCAAGGACCUUCACAAGAGCAUGACAAACUUGGAAGAUAUUAGCAAGUGGCAGAAGAAAGCCAGUUUCUCUGGCACCCUUGAGAAUUACUCGCGUCUCGGUGACAAGAUCAAUGUGAAACCAUUUAUGGAUGCUGUUGAUGUUAGAAUGGGUGCCGAAGCUGAUGCCGUGAAAGGGGUAUGAAGCUACUGAUGCACGAUGGCUCACAGACUAGUCAUUCCAGGUUCUCGCGAUUUGUGAAAAAUACAAGUCAUUCUACCAAAACGAGGGAAAACUCCACGCGGACAGUAUCGCAAACUUGAAUAGAACUCGGCUCGACAUGGACAGUGCAGCGGAUAAGUAUGCGAACAACGAGAAUGAAGUUAACAAGACUCGUUUGGAUAACAGUACCAAGGAAUUUGAAGUGGCUUGGGAGAGAAUGCGAGAACUGGCGAACGGAAUCAAGACAAUUGAAUCGAACCAUUCUUCCUGGCAAGACAAUCUGAUGAAGGAGAUUAAAGUGGCGUUGCGUAAAUGA